rnacentral:rRNA from 1 species
UACGGAGGAUGCGAGCGUUAUCCGGAUUUAUUGGGUGUAAAGGGAGCGUAGACGGCAUGGCAAGUCUGGAGUGAAAACCCAGGGCUCAACCUUGGGAUUGCUUUGGAAACUGUCAAGCUGGAGUGCCGGAGAGGUAAGCGGAAUUCCUAGUGUAGCGGUGAAAUGCGUAGAUAUUAGGAGGAACACCAGUGGCGAAGGCGGCUUGCUGGACGGUAACUGACGUUGAGGCUCGAAAGCGUGGGGAGCAAACAGG